UACAGAACGAGAAGGGGGGCUUCGGCCCCCUGGAGAGUGGCGAACGGGUGCGUAACACGUGAGCAACCUGCCUCGGAGACCGGGAUAACUCAGGGAAACUUGGGCUAAUACCGGAUGCCCUCACCGGAUCGCAUGGUCUGGUGAGGAAAUGGAUUCCGCUCCGAGAUGGGCUCGCGGCCUAUCAGCUUGUUGGUGGGGUAAUGGCCUACCAAGGCAACGACGGGUAGCUGGUCUGAGAGGAUGUCCAGCCACACUGGGACUGAGACACGGCCCAGACUCCUACGGGAGGCAGCAGUGGGGAAUCUUGCGCAAUGGGCGAAAGCCUGACGCAGCGACGCCGCGUGCGGGAUGAAGGCCUUCGGGUCGUAAACCGCUUUCAGCAGGGACGAUUGUGACGGUACCUGCAGAAGAAGCCCCGGCCAACUACGUGCCAGCAGCCGCGGUAAUACGUAGGGGGCAAGCGUUGUCCGGAUUUAUUGGGCGUAAAGAGCUCGUAGGCGGUUAGGUAAGUCGGGUGUGAAAUCUCCGUGCUCAACACGGAGGGGCCAUUCGAUACUGCCUUGACUUGAGUUCGGUAGAGGAGUGUGGAAUUCCAGGUGUAGCGGUGAAAUGCGCAGAUAUCUGGAGGAACACCCGUAGCGAAGGCGGCACUCUGG
rnacentral:rRNA from 1 species